UACUGUACUGACUGUCUGCAUGACUGAGAUCUUCACCUUCAACAUUCAAAACUUCAACUUCGACAUUCCUUCACUUCCAAAUCCUGAGCACCAACACCGGAAGCCUUCACAGAUUUGAAUAUCAGAAAUCGCUGCAGUGUGAUGGCUUAUCUAAGGAACUGGAGGAAGCGUACUGCUGAAGUCCUUGCACUGGCUGACUUGAGUGAAGAGGAUGGAAUGCUGGAGAGUGUGGAUGAGGAGGUAUUGUCACCUUCAUUGUUACCUUCAUUGUCACCUGAUCACUCAGAUAUUGAAUACUCAGAUGUGGUGUGGUCUGACUCAGACACCCAAAUUCUGUCCGAUGAGUCCUCAGAAGAAACUGUUCCUGAUCUGGGUGAGGAGCUUGCAGCCUGGGCCACCAGGAACAGCUGCAAGCGAACUGCUCUUAAUGAGAUGUUAGAGAUCCUAAGGCGACAAGGACAUCGGCUCCCAAAGGAUUCCCGAACACUGUUGCAAACACCAAAGAAAGUGGUAACAGUUGAAAAAUGUGGUAUGCCUACUUUGGUGUUGCUUCUGGCAUAUUAAAUGUUUUGUCUCAGCAUCCAGGAAUCGUUGAGCACCUACAUUUGUGCUUUAACAUUGAUGGUGUGCCACUGUUUAAAUCUUCCAACUUGCAAAUGUGGCCCAUACUCUGCAACUUUGACAACUUUGUUCCUUUCAUUGUGGCCAUCUACUGUGGAGGUUCUAAACCAAAUUCAGUGGAGGACUACUUAAGUGACUUCCUCCAGGAGUUGCAGCAGUUGCAGGAAGAUGGCAUGGUUCAUGGAGGCAAAGCAAUUUCAAUUUCAAUUUCAAUGGAGCUUUAUUGGCAUUACUCAAUGAAGCAGUGUUGCCAAA